GUCUUGAAUUCUUAAUUUAUUUCCAUUUUGUUUAUUGAGUAGAUUUUUCAACUUAAAUUCAUGUUUGCAAGGUACAUAUACAUUUAACAUGAUAAAAAUAUUCAAAUAGUGCAAAGGUGCAUAUCCUUGGAGUACUUCUUCCUUCUACUCUGUUCUCUCUUGGCUGCCUACUUCCUCUCUUUGGAGGAAACCAAUUACCAAGGUCUUGUGCAUCUCUCCACAGACAGUUAUGCAAGUAUACAAAUAUGUCUACGUACAUUUAUCUUGGACACAGAGAUGUAGGACCAGAUCCCUUUUCAUGAAAGGACUUGUUGCUCCAGCUUCUAUGAGUGCUGUCCAUAGACACAGUCUUUAGCUGUCAGCCCCAUUCAGAGAUCAUCUCUGCUAUAGAGCUGCUUACCCAAGGCCAUGAUCUUCCCAGGGCAGCCCACAUCUAAUGACUCAAAGAGAAGGCUAUUUCAGCCUGACACUGGCCAUUUGUGAUGGAAAAAUUUAAUUCCAGAAUUCUUUCUUCACAGGGUGACUUAUCCCUCUGUUCAACACUGCUUCUGCACCCCCACCUGCCACAGGCUGCUCCGUGUUUCUUUCUGGGUGACAAGAGAAGACUGAAGUAUCCACACAGGUUUGGGGGCACAUUUGGAUAAAGAAGUCAUCCAAGUAAAGAACAUGAUUUUUUUGAUUUACUAAAUUUAAGGCUGACUAUGCUCGUUGCUACUUUCUAAAUGAACACCUAUCAGCUAGAAUCACAAUACAUCCAUUCUAUUCAAUCCUUUUGACACAUAAUUGUGUCAAAUUCGUAUGGUUUGGGCUAACUGUAUAGAGGCUUCAGAAAAAGAACUUUUAAGUACUGACACGAGAGAACAGGGCUGACCCUUAAAACCACGCGAUGAGGAACCGUGCCCAAAUGGUGUUUUUGCAAUCCAAGGUUCAGGGAAACUCUGCAGUAACACAAAGGUGUAAAAGACCGCUAGACUGGGUCAGGAGGCUUUGGUUCUAACUCCAGUGAGACCACGAAUAUUUCCUCUUUGACUUCACCUAAGCUGCUUUCUGCCUCUAAAGCAAUAGUUCGCCAUCUGGGAAAUGAGGGGUUUGACCUAUAAUGUUUAAAGUUCCAGCCCUUGAGACUCUUUUCUACUCCUUGCUACUGUAAGAGCAAGACUGAACAGUAACACAUUUUUAUAAUCCCAGCUCCGAGUACAACUGUCUCUCAUUUGCUGUGACUCCCUCUGUGGACAGGUGCAGACAAAUGGCAACAUGGCCCAUAUCUGUCCGCCCAUCGCAUGUGCUCCAUGUGGACCAAGAUAGGAAUAGAUGCACCUUUCUUGGUCAGAUGAUUUGUGAGUUAAGAACUCAGAUUUGGAUCCAAGUUAGCUGGCCUUAGCCAUUUACUCCCUGUGUGACCUGGGUAGCUUAUUUCAGCUCUCUGAGACUCUAUUUGUCCAUCUGUAAAGUGGGGAUGACAAUCAUUGUGUCUCAGGGUUUCAUGUGUCUGGCAUGUGAUAAAUGGAGGUAAAUAACUUUGUGGUUAUGUGCUAAAAUGCUGGAUCCAUACACCUGGGUUUGAAUCCCACGUCCACCAUUUAUCAGCCUCACGUCCUUGGUCAGAUUACUUACCUUGCCCUGAAUUUCACUUCUCAAUCUGUAAAAUGGACAUGAUCAUUACAGCGGUACGCAUCAGGUGCAAUAAUCCAUGAAGCACAUCGAACAGUACCCAGCUCUUCUUAGAACUCAAUAAAUUUAGCUAUUAUUGUUAUUCGGUGGUAGAUAAUACUCAGAGUACACAUUACACAUCAAAAAUGCAAACAUUGAGCAAGAAACCAUUAUUGAGAACAUCAUCCAAGGAGUCAGAAAAACGAUUAACCUAACUACUAGCUAAAGCAGACACACAUUAAUUACUGAGCAUUUUGUUUUUCACCCUUGAUGAAAAUAGAGACACUACUGCUCAGCCCUUAGAAGCUAAAUCCAAAGGAAUCAGACGCUUUCUGAAGUCCAGUUGGGCCAGUGGCCCGCACCAUCUCCACUCUGCUCAUCAACAUGACCACGUGCCAGCCCGCAAACCCUCGAAUCUCCUGACGGAAGAGCAAGUGGUAACCACACAGGGCUUAGGCCUGCCGAGAGUGAGGUCAUGAUUCAGGGCUUUGACUCCGUCAAACAGUGCUGACAAAGACACCCUGUUUUCCCUGACAGAACAGAAUCAUAUUACUGCACACACAAGUGUCUCACACCUGGGAAAGAUGAAAUUACACUAAAGCUUAAUCCUCCGAAACCAGCUCAACAAGAAGUCACUUAAACAUUUAGGUUAGGAGUUGUCUCCUGGCAAAGAAAAUAUUGCAAGGCCACUGGGCAGUUUUAACUAAUUAGAAGGGCCUGGCUUUGUCAGUGGAAAUAAUGUUUGAUCCUUUAUUCUCUUUAUUAAUUAUACCUUAAGAGGUCUCAACACAGCCUCUUUUAAAUAAACACACUUGGGUCUCCUGCACUCAUCUUAUUAAGGGAAGAAAUCAGUCC
rnacentral:lncRNA from 1 species